CGUACAAUAUAGCGACUUAUUUCCUAGAAAGCCAACCAUUGAGAGCAGAUGGCAAAGAUCCGUGCCUCGCUUUGAACUGCACACAUAUGUGCAUUACAACAGCAACAGGAGGAGAGUGCGCAUGCGCGGAAGGCUUCGUUUUCAAUCAAUCGACCAACUCGUGUGACGAGAAUAGCAAAGUGUAUCACAGAGCCAUGAUUCUUGCCGACGACACUUCCAUAUGCCUGACCGAC